GAAGAUCAAGGCAUCAAAUAAAUAUAGCCACAUCCAAGCAAGCACUCCAAUAGCUAGCAGUCUUCAUUACCUUCCAAAGUAUCAGAUGAAAUAUUCUUUAAGCAACUCAGAACAAAACAUCAGACACAAACAAACAACAAAAUAAGCAAUUAAGCACAAAUACAGAGUAGUAGAUGAAUCCAAAGCACUCAAAGGUCUUGCAUCAGAUGAAGGCAAAUUCAGAGAUAGCUCAGCCUCAGAUGUUGGCAUU
rnacentral:lncRNA from 1 species